rnacentral:snoRNA from 1 species
AAAGCAGGUUGCAAUUACAGUGCUUCAUUUUGUGGAAGUACUGUCAUUAUCCUGCUGAAAGAAAAGGCUGUGUUGAUUGUUUUUGAUUUUGCCUCUGUGAGGGUAAAAUCACAGCAUAUUGACAUGGACAGUU